UGGCUCAGAUUGAACGCUGGCGGCAGGCCUAACACAUGCAAGUCGAACGCGAAAGCACUUCGGUGUGAGUAGAGUGGCGGACGGGUGAGUAACGCGUGGGAACGUGCCCUUCUCUAAGGAAUAGCCACUGGAAACGGUGAGUAAUACCUUAUACGCCCUUCGGGGGAAAGAUUUAUCGGAGAAGGAUUGGCCCGCGUUAGAUUAGAUAGUUGGUGGGGUAAUGGCCUACCAAGUCGACGAUCUAUAGCUGGUCUGAGAGGAUGAUCAGCCACACUGGGACUGAGACACGGCCCAGACUCCUACGGGAGGCAGCAGUGGGGAAUAUUGGACAAUGGGCGAAAGCCUGAUCCAGCAAUGCCGCGUGUGUGAUGAAGGCCUUAGGGUUGUAAAGCUCUUUUACCAGGGAUGAUAAUGACAGUACCUGGAGAAUAAGCUCCGGCUAACUCCGUGCCAGCAGCCGCGGUAAUACGGAGG
rnacentral:rRNA from 1 species